UACGGAGGGUGCAAGCGUUAUCCGGAUUUACUGGGUUUAAAGGGUGCGUAGGUGGAUUUGUAAGUCAGUGGUGAAAUCUCCGAGCUUAACUCGGAAACUGCCAUUGAUACUAUAAGUCUUGAAUUAUCUGGAGGUGAGCGGAAUAUGUCAUGUAGCGGUGAAAUGCUUAGAUAUGACAUAGAACACCAAUUGCGAAGGCAGCUCACUACGGAUAUAUUGACACUGAGGCACGAAAGCGUGGGGAUCAAACAGG
rnacentral:rRNA from 1 species